UUAGAUAAGAAGAAUAACCUCAUACACUGAAAAUGAUUGUCACCUGAAGUGCUGGUACUGCUUCAUCUGUGGCAGUGGCCUGAAAUACGGAGUCAGGUGUCGUUGCCAGCCAUAGCUUUCCACCAGCACCGUACCAUCCUCCAGUGCAACCAGCUGUCACAGUGCGGUCCUUCACAACACCAUCAAUCUCAGACAAAGUGUUCACAAACAGAGCUCCACACUGCCAAGCAGAAACACCAGCAGAUCCAGGAGCACAUGCAGCAAAUUAAGGAGGUGUGGCGGGAGGCUCGGUGGAUCAUAGAUGAUAUACAGUAUGCCUGCUACAAGCAGCCCACAGGUGGCAUUUCCCUGGCCUGGAUCAUCAACCUCUCCAGUGAGGUGUUGUCUGACAUGCCCCGCUCCACCUCCUCCCAGCCAGACCACCUGCCCUUGCCUAUGCCCUCCUGAACCCAGCCGCAAGCACUCUGGGACCGGGAUAGGGCCAGUGCCUGCCAAACCCCCAGCCCCUUGCUCGCAUUCUGUCAGAGGACAGCGGCACCCAGAGGCUCUCAGGUGCCCCCUCCCCCGGUACCCACAGGAAAGGCUGGAACGCCACGUUACGGGUGUACCCACAGUACCGAACAAGGGUACCCAAGGAAAUCAGUGUGAAGCUGCAGGUGACCCCAGGCACAUUGGCCAUGGAGAUGGUCCAGCUUGUGGUGCAGGAGAUGAAAGCAGUGUCGCGGCAGCUCCUCGGAGGUUGCAGUAGCAGUAGUAAUGGAGGGGGAGUGGAGGAUGAGCAUUGUAUGUACAGCCCUGGGCAGCUGGAUCACUUUGGCCUUGUACUGGUGGUGGACGGCAGGGAGAAGUGGCUUCAGGAUGGCUUCUGUCCCCUGGAGGUACAGAACCCCUGGCUCCUGGGCAAGCUGUGCAUCCACAUUGGCACUGCAGUACAGCAGGGCGACUACUGUCUGAAACUAUGGGGUGGGGAGGGGAUUGGGGUGGUCCCCUCCCCCCAAUCAUGGAAUUUAGGUCUGGACUAUUAGAGGGAAAUUUCUCCUUUAGAAAUGUGGGACCAUGAACUUUGAAUGUUUCACAUGGGCCAAAGGUAGGCACCCUACCUAGGAUGAACUGGAACUUCUACUGGAACUUUCUCUCCUUUCACCCUCUCUUUCUCUUUCUUUUCCUCUUUGGUUGUUUUUUUCCUACCAACUACUGUACAGAGCCUAGUUAAUCAUUUUAUGUUUGUUUAUUUGUUUUUGUUUUUGUUAACUGAACUGCUUCUGUGAGACUCUGUUUCCAUGAAGUCUCCUCCCAUCCCAUGUAAACGUCCCUUCCUUCCUCAACCUGUCACGCCCUGACCUUAGAGAGCCUUUUUAUGUCUCUAUUUGGUUUGGUCAGGGUGUGAUUUGGGUGGGCAUUCUAUGUUUUGUAUUUCUUUGUGUU